rnacentral:rRNA from 1 species
CUCGUGUCGUGAGAUGUUGGGUUAAGUCCCGCAACGAGCGCAACCCCUGUUCUAUGUUGCCAGCACGUGAUGGUGGGGACUCAUGGGAGACUGCCGGGGUCAACUCGGAGGAAGGUGGGGAUGACGUCAAAUCAUCAUGCCCCUUAUGUCUUGGGCUUCACACAUGCUACAAUGGCCGGUACAAAGGGCUGCGAUACCGCGAGGUGGAGCGAAU